rnacentral:rRNA from 1 species
GAUGAACGCUGGCGGCGUGCCUAAUACAUGCAAGUCGAACGCUGAAGGAAGGAGCUUGCUCUUUCCGGAUGAGUUGCGAACGGGUGAGUAAUGCGUAGGUAACCUGCCUGGUAGCGGGGGAUAACUAUUGGAAACGAUAGCUAAUACCGCAUAACAGUAGAUGUUGCAUGAUAUCUACUUAAAAGGUGCAAUUGCACCACUACCAGAUGGACCUGCGUUGUAUUAGCUAGUUGGUGAGGUAACGGCUCACCAAGGCGACGAUACAUAGCCGACCUGAGAGGGGGAUCGGCCCCACUGGGAUGGGGACACGGCCCAGACUCCUACGGGAGGCAGCAGUAGGGGAUCUUCGGCAAGGGACGGAAGGCUGGACGAGCAACGCCGCGGGAGUGAAGAAGGGUGUCGGAUCGUAAAGCUCGGUUGUAAGAGAAGAACGAGUGGGAGAGUGGAAAGUUCACACUGUGACGGUAGCUUACCAGAAAGGGACGGCUAACUACGUG